rnacentral:misc_RNA from 1 species
AUGCAAGGCAACUCCUUGAGAGUGCAAUACUAGAUCAACAAUAUGUCUAAAUAUAUGCAAGCACACAACUUCAUUCAUUUUAUGCUGCUGUGCAUCCAACCAAGUUUUGGGGUUUUCUUGCAUAUGCAGCAACAAAUCUUCUUAUAUAUAUUUUUUCCUCUUUAUUUUUAAUUUGACUUAAAAAUCAUUUUAUAUUGAGCCACAUCAACGUAAUCAAACAGCGUUAAGUACCACUUGAUCACAAAGUGAAUCUUAAACCUUUAAGUGAAAUCCUGAAGUGAAAAUGAGCAAACAAUAUAAUUCUUCUUUAUAAUUUCCCUUUCAUUCUAAUUUACAAGGACCAAUAAGCGCCAACUUCAAGCGAAGAUAUCCAGAGAAGCACCCCAUUCAAGGGUACAUUUUUUCACAGAAAAUUCACGUCAUAAUCAGACAGUAACAUACAAUGAAUCAGUGCCAUUUCAGAGUAAGAAUCUCAAGAAUGCUAAACAAAAAGUUCAGAAAUUCCACCCAUCUUCAACACUUUCCUGGCAACACAUAAUAAUGAUGAUGAUGAUGUAAUAAAGAGGGGAAAAAAAAAACAUUUUGAUGGAACCUGAGCACGCAACCAGAUAAAUGCAGCAUUAAACAGGAGCUCCCACCGUGUCCAUGAGAGGUUCUCCAUUUGUUUUACUAGCACGAGGUAAUGCUUAGACAAGCAUUAUCAUGGAAUUAUCAGAAACUGAGUUUCCAAAUAACUGGGGUGAUACUGAUACAACAGAGAAUAUCCAAAAAGCAAAGCAAUAGGAAUAUAAGCACGGAAAAAAAAGGAGCGGGGGGUGGGUGGUUGGGGCGGGGAGGGGGAAGGGGGAAGGGGGGUGGGGUGUAAGAGUUCUAACAUAACUUUCUUUUUAACAAAGUAAAUCCUGCCUUGUAGAUAAUUACCACUGGUUAAAUUAGUAAUGGCUCAUCUAAUGGUAAAAGAAACAAGCAUAUCACGUUAAAAACCUUGAAGCAAAAGAAAAUGCUUGAAUGAGCAUGCUUCAAUAAUGCCGAGGCUAAACUGCUGGUGACUUUCAGCAUAUGGACAAGAGCAUUCUACCUCCACUGUGGUUUACAGAGAAAUUCAUUACAUGACAUGCAGGUGGAUGAACCAUAAAUGAUAAUAAACAAGCAACUGAGAUUCUGUAACUGAAGCUCAUAUUUGUCAACUGUAGCAACUACAACUCUACAAGGGUCAGCUUAAACUGAUAUACAAUGUACUAAGCGAACCUACUGAGAUUUUAGAAUAGCCUCAACCCUCUACAUCUGGGCCCAAAACACACCAAAAAUUAUCCGAGUAAAAGAUGCAGCAGACAACCAGAAGAAUUAGCAAUCUUGUUACCUUCUUCAGCAUCCCAUUAACGUAUGCAUGUGUGAGAGCAUCAGCAGUAGAGUAGAAGCUGCACUGCAUCUGCCUCAGUUUUUCAACAUCUGCUCUCUCCUAUCAAGAAAUUGAAUUAGAAAAUAAAUAAUAUACCAAAUAGAUAAUGAAGUAAAAUAAAUUGGAUUAUGUCACCCACAAAAAGAUAAUAGUUUCAUAGUUCAUGUGCCAAAAUUUACAAGCCCAAUAAUAAAGAUAAUUUUCAGUAUCUGAUGAUAAUUUUCAGUAUCUGAUUGUGCACCGACAGAGGGGGUAUAUCAAGUUUUGAGGGCAGCCAAUUUACAAAAAAUGCUAGAAGGCAGCGAACUUCUCCAAAUUCUCCUAUCUGAGACCACUUCAUAGGGCUGUAGCUUGGUAUUGACCUUGAACCCCAAUUAGAAACAGCUCAAACAGACAGCUGGAUUAGAUCAAUUUAAUGAAAUACACAAGUUUCAGUGACAAUUCUGCGUUAUAACUUCCAGAUGAGGAGUUUGUGGCCUUGGGCAAAUGACAAGUUUUUCAAACAUUACUAAGUGUAAAUGUUGACAAAAGAAAACCCCAUAUACACACAUUGCAUCCUACAUAACUGGUCAAGAGACUUGCUAUUCCAAAUAGCCAGAAUACAUCCCAUUGGUUCCAUUUUUUUCUAAUCUAUCACUACCUUCUCCAGAUUUCCCUCCACUCUUUCACAUAUUCAACUAUAAACUUCAAAAGCCAUGAAAACUUAACUAAGUCACACUUUUGCCCAGCAUUUGGCCCUCAGCCCAGAAUGUGGGAGACCUCAUGUACUGGGAUAAUGUUUAUGCUAUUGCUCAGUGAUCCAGUGAGCUACAAGCAUGCCAUCUAUAUAACAAACAAACAAAUCAAGAAAACCAGUGACAGUGAAUUUGAAAUUUUCUUCCAAGUGAAGUAACCCACCAAAAUUUUUAUGUCAGAUCCGCUUCUUCAAUACUGCAAAAAAAGUGUUGCAUCUUCCUCACCUUGGAGUGCAUUCAUUGGUUGACUUUUAAAUGGUACAGAUAUGGUAUAGUUGAGCUGGUAAUUUACAAGUACUGAACCAAAAAUGUUGAACUUUGGAGCACUACCAUAUGCAGCUUCUGCAUCAGAACACUUCUUGAAAACAACUCUGGCACGAUUGGUAUCCUUAUCUACUUCUGUCUCUGACUCUUUCAAAGGCCCAAACCGCCUAAACAUCUUAUUCAGGCUUAUUUCUGAAGGAACACAAUCCACCACAGGAAAAUGCAUAACAAGUUCUGCUGGUGCAUUCUCAUCUACGUAACUCACUGGUUUCUCUGCUGAUAGACCAUAAUUGCCAUCAGAAUACCGCUUUCUAGAGUUUGACUUAUUAAGGGCCUUGUCCUGGUCCAUAGAAACAAGUUGAUUAUCCCGUUUUCUACUUUUACGUGGUGGUUGCUCUUCAGAACCAUUUUGAAUAACCCGGUCGGUCCAAUAAGUGUCAUUCAUAUCCUCAAAUUCGAAUGUCUCAGGAGAACAAAAAAUGGAAUGAGAUGCUUGUCUCCUUUUACAACCUACUUUCUCAUGCUGUUCCAUAAUCACUGAGUUCCUAAAAUCAGAGAAAAAACUAAUAAUGAUGCUCAAGAAACUAUAUCCUUUAAAGGGAUCUCGUGCCACCAAGUGAAGUUGUGAUAGUAAUUCAUCCAAUGAUGAGUAUUCUGUAGGAACAAUUGCUCUCCUCAUCUCAGCAUCCUCAGAAUGUUCAAACAAAACAUCAGAUCCAUCCCCAACAAGUCCAUCGCUGCUUCCAUCUUGCUUCAUGUUGUUAGACUUCAAUAUGCAGGUGGACCCAGUCAUCUGGCUAGCGACUCUACGGAUACAUUCACCAAUCUUGAAUGAAGGCUUAGGAAAUGAAGGUGCACUAGUAGAGACCUUUGCAAGAGAGAGAGUUUUCCUCCCUUCUGCUGUGGCUAAGUCAUCAGGAAAGGAAUCAAAGACCUUCCGCUUCUUCCCAGAAGAUGGUGAAACUAAUUUAUUGUUAGCUUUCCCAUCAGGACCAAUUUCAUCAUCUACACAUUCCCAUGAAUCACCCAUUAAUUCAGACAAGCUUCUUUCUUUCUUCCUAGGAUAGACAGUAUCUUUCAAAUUAUGUUUGCGCUUGUGGUAAGAACUUCUUUGGGCAUGUACAAUCUCCUGACCAGAUGAAAUUUUUCCAUCAUCCUUACAAAAAGGAUAUGUGGGCUCUAUCACUUCAUCUGUAAAUUCUAAUGUGCCUGCAUUCUCUAACAACCCUCCACAAAACUGGAAUUCAGGCAACUGAGAAUAACCCUUUAAGCGAUAAAAGGCCAGUAAUUGGGACCUGGCAAUGACAAGUUCAAGUCGAUCAGCUCCACCAGCUGGACAUUGUGCUAAUGCUUUCAUAUACUCUACUAAUUUACCAGGUUCAAAUAAAUCAGCAACCAAGGAUUUGUCCACACCAUCUCUUACACUUGCUUCUUGUCGGAUUCCAGUGUUUUCUACUAUCUGAAAUUUAAGUUUAUCGUAAGUAUCCUUUGGUAUGCAUGAGCACGCCAGCCCAUACUCUACACGUCUUGAAACUUCUUCUAAAGCACAAUCAACGGCAUUCUGGAACGUUUCAGAAUUGCUCUGCUUCUCAACCUGGGAGAAAUGAGACCUGAAAGGCUUUAGCAGAGAUGCCUCAUUCCAUGCAAAUGUCCGAUCCCCAAAAUAUGCUACCAAAAAACAGUCCUUUUUAUGAUACUUCACUGCUUUCUCAGAGGCAGCUGAAGGGUCAAAUAUCUGCCCAGGCCACCAUGGAUGGCUCCUCACUUUGCCCCAGACCAAAUCAGAUACAGUGAACUCACCUUCGACAUCUGGUGGUAUCUUAUAACUAGCUUGAUGUUCUAUUACACUGCUUCUGGAAUUUAGAGCUACUUCUUUAGCAGAUUUCUCUUCAGUGGUAUUUAGCAGUUCCGAGUCAGCAUCCUGUUCUUCAGCUUCCAUUUCUUGCCCUUCUUGCAACCCAACCUGAUCAAUAAAAGCAUCAUGCUCUUCAACCACUGUUUCUGUUGCUGCACUUGAUUCAAUCUCAGAAACAUCACUAUCUGCACUCUCAUCCAAAUCUUCUUCAACCGUCAGAUUCUGAUUCCCUUCAGGUGGCCCCUCAAGUCCAGUACCGGCAUUCAAAGUCACAUCAUUGUCUGCUAUAGCAGUUUGCUCUCCAUCAAUUAAUAAGGUAUCUUGUUCUCUGCUUGCACAAACUGUUUCAGCCUCUGAGUUCUGUUCUACUACCUUCAUCUCUUCUCUUCCAAGCUGUUCAACACAAGCAGCCUGUUCUUGAACAUCAAUCAGCUGCCCCAUAUUUGGAUCAUCCUGAUCAGGAUCACAAGCUGCACUCUUGUCUAUGCAUUCUUUCACCUUCCACUCAUGGUCUUUUUCAGCAGGAUCCGAAACAUUGACAGUUGAAUUAACCUUAUCCUUGUCAGUUGAAGUAGUGUGAGUAUCUAUUUCCAUAGAGUCUGUCUCAGUCUUUAUAUGCUGUUCGUUUCCCGAUGAUGAUAACAUCCCAUCCAAAUGCAUAUCAACAGGACCCCCAAAAUUUGCGUCUGAACGAACCUUGUCAGCCAUUUCUGCAAUUUCAUCACCAACUGCAGGUGCUGACUGACGACAUGUUAUGAAGUCUAAAUCUUUGGUGCAGUGAGUUUCAGCGUUCUUAUUUGCGGUCUCAACCUUGCCUUGUUCUUUCAGCAUACUAGCUUGUUCAGCACCAGCAACUUUUUCAUCAUCUCCCAUCUCUGCAUCUACGGUUGAACCAACAUGAGCAGAAUCAUGAGGCAUACUCUGGUCUGACCACUCUUCAAUUACUAAUUUUUUUUCAUCUUCAGAAUUCAGAAGCACCAUGUUCUCAGAUGCUCCAACUUCACCUCCAACAACUACUUGAGUUGGCUGUUGUGAAGAUUGCAAAUCUGCAAAUGCAUCAUAGUGAUUUUCAGUGCUUCCAUUGGCAGUCUCAACUGUAGCCUGCAGUUCUUCCACUGAAAAACAAAAAUUUUCAUUAAAAGCGUCAGUGUCCAUACCUUCAAUGUUAGGAUAUGUAAUCUCCUCAUUGUCCAUUGAUGCAACUUCCUCAUCAAUUUGUCCAUCAAAGCAUUUGGAGGUUGCAUUGGUAAUGGCAUCUUUUUCUAUUGCAACUGAAUCUUUCUCAGAACUGGAUAUAACCCCCUCCACAGAAUCACUACCAUGUGCCCCAUCAAAAACUGUUUCAAUUUUGGGAUUUAAAUUUCCAUCAUCAACCAUCACCACAGCUUCCUCCUCAAUACCUUGGUUCUCUACAUUUGAACCUUCCUUGAUGAUUGAAGAAGGUGCUCCUGCAGUUUUAGUUCCAGGAUUCGACACCUCAUCAUGCAAAACACAGACCUUUUGUGUUUCUGAAUCCUGAAGCGAAGCCCCCUCGUUCUCAUUUGUUUCGUUAGCCUGAUCCAUAGCCUCCUCAACCACUUCAGAUUUCUCGACUGCAAUAGCUUGGGUAUCAACUACAGAAGAACCGAAAACUGCUGGGGAACCUCCAACAUUUUCAACUCCUUGAUUACCUACUUCAUUAUCUGAAACCCCAACUUCCUGAGAAUUCACAUCCUUAACGACAUCCAUCCCAACUUUCUCAAUACACUCCUUCUCCAAUCCUCCCUCCAAACGUUCCUUCCCUGUAACUACUGCCACUUUCUCAACUGCAACUUGGGUUUCCCCACCAGUGGAUCCUUCAACAAGAGAAGAAACUUCAACUGCACUCUUGAUUCCCACAUUCUGAGCAUUCCCAGCCCCAGCUUCCUGCAAAGUAUUAUAAUCAGCAACAUAAGAGCCAUCAACAUCAAUGACCUCUCUAACUCCCUCCACCAAUACACCUUCUUCUUUAGAUUCUGCAGCGCCAGAACACUUUCCAAUCUCACUGUCAGUUCCCAAAUUUACCUCCAUAACUCUUGUACCACCCUCCAAAAAUUCUCCUUCUUCUUUUGAUUCUGCAAUCCCAGAAGAUUUUCCAACAUCGGUCUCCACUCCCAAGUUUACGUCCCUAACUCUUGGUAUAUUCUCCACCAAUUCUCCUUCUUCCUUGGAUUCAGCAACCCCAGAAGAAUUUCCAACCUCAGUCACCAAUCCCAAGUUUACCUCCCUAACUCUUGCCACAUCCUCCACCAAUUCUCCUUCUUUAGAUUCAGCAACCCCAGAAGACUGUCCUACCUCACUCUCAGUUCCCAAAUUUGAUGCCUCAACACAUGGAUCCAUAAUGGCCUUGGAACCAGAGUCACCAACCCCACCACCUAAAGUUUUGACAUCUCCCUCUGAGCCCAACUCUCUUGACCCACCACGACUUUUAGUUGCUUCCUCACUCAAAUUUCGCCCACCACCACCACCAAAAUCACGUAUGAAAACACCAUCAACGUUAAUAUCAGAACCCCUAACCCCAACCAUUAUAUUCACCCCAAUACAAGACCCACCAUCCUCUGUCACCACCCCUUCAGUUGAGGAUCCCUUAGUCACACACUGACCUUGAACCUGAACGUCACAAGCAUCUGGCUCAAAAACUUGGGUUUCCUCACUAUCUCCACUGGCUUUGCGAUCACUUAUAGUCUCUUUAGACGAUUCCAAAACAGUACAACUAGAAACAUCCUUAUCUUCAUGUUUGCCCAUGGAAAAUAAUAUCUGGAGACGUGAUUCAACAAAUCUUCAGCAAGUGUAAACAGGUUUUGAAAUGGCAGGCAAGAGUAUCAGAUUUCAAUAGAUUUUAAUAUUUUUAUCUUCUUCAUGCAGAUCAUCAAUUGAUCGGAACUUUCCUUCAAAUCCCCCGUUAAAUCAACAAAAGUAAUGGCUUCUUUACCCGCCAGCAGUGACAGAAAGUCUGGGUUUUUUGCAAAUCACUGGCAAUGGAGGUGGGAAGCUUUUGCAACCGCUAGUUGUUCUUUGUCCUUUCAAAUCUUCCCUUUUCUAGUAGAAAGAACUCAAUGAAGGCAAACUGAUAGUAAAGGAGGAUGAUUAAUCGUUUUCGCAGUGGUAGAUUGAUGCAAUUCUGUUUGGAUUUCUGGGUUUCUCUCCUAAACCCUUACUGUUAUGACCUAUAAAAAACUCGCUCCCUG